AAUUCCACAUAUAGUUCAUGUGAUGACAGCUGUCACAUCACAUCACCUAUUUGCCAAAAUUAUAUAAAUGUCGAGGCAAAGGUCAAAAUUAAAUCAAACAAACUUUCCCCAUCCCCUUUUAUUGAAUUGUAUUAACUUUUAUUUGUUUACUAUUGAUAAGAGCUAAUACCUGAAAACUGAAGUGCAACAAAUGUGCUGGCGAAUCAAAAAUCAAGUCAAUACAAUUGAUUGCUAGUAGCGGAGGAACGUAUGGGGUGACCCUCGCAGUAUUUGAGAGCAGGAUACUUGUAUAAGAAUCUACCGGCGACACAAGGGUUCAGUGAAGCUUUUAAGCUUUCUAUGCAAGUGGCAGCGGCAGAAAAGGUCAAACUGAAUUAUAAAUUAUACAACGGCUUACGAUAUACAUACAUACAUAUAUACAUACUAUAUAUGUGCAUUAGCGAAAAUAAAAGUAAAAGCCAUUAAUCAUGGACCGAUAUGCAGUAUAACUACGCCGAGGAAGUUCUAAUGACUUUGAUGCAAUCAUUGAAUAAGUUCAUGGAUUUGUUUGUGUGAAAGUGCAUAUGUAUGUAUGUAUAUGUACCUGUGUGUGUGUGAGUGUGUGCAUUGCAAACAUAAGUCAGUUAAUGUGCACAUGUCAAACACAAUUAUCACAUCGCCCACACCCUCGCAUGUCUCGUUAAUCUUUUCACUAAUCUCUCGAAUGCACUAAUCAUCAUCUACUUCGCCGCACACCGCUGCGCCGCCCGCCGCCCUCCACAUGAUUGCUUGGCACAUUUUGAAAGCAGGCAGGUCUGGCCGCCGCACGAAACGCUAAAAUAUGCAAAUGGCGAUAGUGUCGCGCUAUGUCAUCAGGUGAAAAUAGAAUAUAUUUUCAUAGUGAUUUAUUUCUGCUUUGAUUGUCAAUCAGUAAUAAGGAUGAUUAAUUGCGGCGAAUGUCAAUUGACGCGCGAAAAAAAUAAGAAAUUUUCCAGUUGAACGACGAGCGUCGUACGUUGACAACCAGAGGCGCAAAAAGCGAGCAGCUUCAACUCUGAUAAACUACGUUGGACUUCAAGAAUGGUUUGUGUUGAGUAUAUGCAGAUAACUUUAAGCGAGUCGUAUCUGUAAUAAACCAAAGAUUGGCACGAAGUGUAGGCCUAGAGGGCGCAAAUGAAAGCUCCUAGAAUUACUCAUACGCCCCGCACACUUCAUACAAAGAAAUGCAUAACGAACCCACCAAUUUUUGCUGCUUACUUACUGCUCCUACUAGUUUGCUCCUACUAAUUUGCACUUCAUUAGUGCGUCACUGAAAAUUUGUUUUCGAAAUUGAACAUUGAACUCGGCGAACUGGAAGCGGCACCACCACACACCCACCCACCCACUUAAUCCAUCGCCGUCGGACUAAUAUAUAUAUUGAAGCAAAUAAAUACUUGUGAUGUAUGUGCAAAUAAACACACUCGUUUCCUGCGGCUAACACAGAACACAGACAAGCAUUUUAGCCAAACAAACAAUUGGUGAAGGCCAAUUGAUUGAAUGAAAACACCUAAAUGCGUAAUUCGUCGAUUCGCCGAUUUAAAAUAACAUUUCUAUAAAUAGCAAAAAGUUAUAAUUGAAACGAAACAAAAUUAAACAUUUGUUUAUGCAGACACAUGUACAUAUUUAUAGCUAUAGUCUAUAGCUCUGGCGAAAGAACCCGCUGAAUGAUUUAUUUACUACAAUUGCUGGUGUUUACAACUAUUUAUUACUUUCAAUUAACAGCCCUUGAAUGAUACGUUUUUGAUGCGCAGAAGCAACACGGGGUAAUGUAUUCAGUAAAAAUUACCAACUCGACACCUAUGGUUAGUAUCUGCCUUCUUGAAAUACCCGCGGACGUGUUUGAGACGAACUUCGAAAACAGACCAGUUGGAACAAGCGUUAUAACUGACAAAUUUCAUGUUCUUACGUAGUCUUCUCCGUAACACAGAACUUUGAAACGCUACUAGACUGCUUGAAACAAACAAAUCUCAAAAUGAAUCCAUAAUCUAUCUUACAAAGAAAAAUUCGGAUAUUUAUAGUAUUCGAAUAUAUCGUAUAGCAAAACAAUAGCUCUCUAGUUCUCAACUUGGAUGCAGUACGAAGAUCAACGUUCUUCAAACUAAGGCUCUUGUGACUAAUCUAUUCCGACAUUACUUAGCAAACCGAGCUGAAUUACAUUCACUCGUUUGCCACAUCAUAUCUGGUUUCAUUCAAAGUUUUCAAAAUAGUAUUUCUCAAGUUCUGAAACCAAUCGUUUGUCCUAAAUGCUCUAAAAGUCAU